GGCUCAGAGACCAUUGAGUAGGACAUCAGUGAUGUGCAGACAGUACUCGAUGAUGAUAUAGCCGAUUGCAAUUGGGAGCCAGGGGACGAAGGGGCUUCAUCAUCAUUGGGAGAAGAGGGUGGCAGCUUGCGCGUGAGGCAGCGGCGGAGUCAGUAAAAGUGGAUGCUCAACAGACAGGAUCCAUUUUUUGGGGGGUUAUUGUUCUGACAGAU